AUUGUUUUAGUUUUCAACGAAAUAUGUGAGUGGAGAAUCAGAGUGGAGUUCGUCUCUCCUUUUGCUGGUUGAUUUUGUUGUUGUUCGAGUAGGAACAUUGAAGGUCAUCUUCUCCAGUGUCUCCUAAAGAGGGGAAGACACCCGUCACAGCUUUAUCAGUCAUCUCUACGCAGCUUUUCGUCAAAAGGAAUUUACAGCUUCUUAGAUGAUGAUAAACUUUAGAGAGGCAAAUCCAUUUCUCAAGAAUUGUUGGAACUUGGAAGCAAUCAAAGAUUCUCGCUGUUCGGUCAUCGUUAUCUCGGAAAACUAUGCUGACUCGACUUGGUGUUUGGAUGAACUUGUCGAGAUUGUUAAAUGCAGGAAGGACAAUAUACAGAUUGUUCUACCAAUUUUCUAUCACGUAGAUCCAUCUCAUGUACGGAAGCAGAGUGGAAGUAUUGGGGAAGCAUUCGAAAGAGAUGACCAAGAUUUUAGUGACCACUUAGAAAAGGUGCAAAGCUGGAGGGAUGCGUUAAAAGAAGUAGGCAAUCUAGCUGGAUGGCAUUUAUAUGAUAGGUAAUUGAGUAAUUGAUUAUUACCAUCUAUCCUUGUUGAAUGAAAUUUUUAUUCUUAUAUAUGCUUAUGUACUUAAUGAAUUUUCUUCUAUUGAAUGAUAUUUUCCAAUUUUAUAAUGGGAGAAAAGUGACAUGACAAAUGCCAGAUUUAAGGAGUGUCACCUGUUAUAUGGGAUGAAGCAAAAUUUAUACAAGACUUCAUUGUAGAGGUAUCAAGUAAAGUUGGUCUUGCACGAUUAAACAUUUCAGAGGACCUCUUUGGAAUGGAUUCACGACUAGAGAGACUAAACUUAUGUGUUCAUACUUCAUCAUUGGACGAUGUUUGUAUUAUUGGAAUUUGCGGAAUGGGUGGAAUAGGAAAGACAACUCUUGCCAAAGCUUAUUAAGAUUGGAAGUCUUCUCAAUUCCAAGAUAGUAGCUUCCUUGCAAUGUUAGAGAAGUUUGUGAAAAGAAGGAAAAUGGUCUUGUGUAUUUACAAACUCAUCUUCUUUCAGAUAUUCUUGAUGGGUUACCUACAAAAGUAAGGGAUGUUCAUGAAGGAAUGGACAUGAUAAGAAGUAGAUUAUGCCAUAAAAAAGUUCUUAUAGUUCUUGAUGAUGUGGAGAAAUUGGACCAGCUAAAAGUAUUUGCUAAGAAAAAUAGUUGGUUUGGUUCUGGAAGUAGAAUAAUUGUAACAUCUAGAGAUGAAAGUAAGCUUAGUAGUACAUAUAGAGGAUCUAUAAGAUAUAAAGUUGAGCAUUUAAAUUACCGCGAAAGUCUUCAACUAUUUUCUUGGAAAGCCUUCAAAAGCAUUCAACCAUCAAACGAUUACAUAGAGCUGUCCAAACAAGUGAUAGCUUAUGCCAACGGUCUUCCAUUAGCUCGAGAAGUACUAGGUUCCUUUUUAUGUGGAAAAAGUAUAAACGAAUGGAAAAGUGCUUUGGAUAGAUUAAAGGAGUAUCCAAAGAAGGCGAUUGUUAAAGUACUUCAAAUCACUUUUGAUGCACUUGAAGAAACAGAGAAAAGUAUUUUUCUGGAUAUUGCAUGCUUCUUCAAUGGGUUGAAUAAAGAUUAUAUUAUAUGAAUCAUGGAUGCCUGUGGUUUCUUUCCAGAAAUCGGGAUAAGAGUCCUUAUUGAUAAAUCAAUCCUGCACAUUUGUCAUGAUAACAGAGUGUGGAUGCACGAUUUACGACAAGAGAUGGGCAAGGAAAUUGUCCGAGAAAAAUGCUGCACUGAACCGGGAAGGCGAAGUAUGUUAUGGGAUAAUGACGAUUUAUAUCAUGUUUUAGAAAAUAACACGGGAACAGAACAAGUUGAAGCCAUAGUAUGCCAUUUUCUAACACAGAAAAUACUUAGCUGGGAAGCCUUCUCAAGUAUGAAGAAACUAAGAUUGCUCAUUAUUGAUUUUGGCUGGGGAGACACAGAUUGUCACGCAACAAAAGUUGAAUAUUCUAAAGAGUUAUGGUUCCUUGAAUGGUUUUAUUUUCCUUCUGAAGAUUUUCCAUCAGGUUUCCAACCAGAUGGGCUUGUUGAAUUGCAGUUGUUUGGUAGCAAUAUCAAAGAACUGUGGAACAACCCCAUCAAGCCAUUCCACAAUUUGCAACUCAUUGACCUAAGAUAUUCAAGAAAUCUUAGCAAGUUUAACGACUUCAGGAUGGUUCCAAAUCUGGAAAAGUUGAUUCUUCAAUGUUGUUCAAAACUACUGGAGGUUCACCCAUCCAUUGCAUAUCUCGAAAGGCUUACUUUACUAGAUCUGAAAUAUUUCACAAGUCUAGAAAAUCUUCCAGCAAGCUUAGAUGGUUUGAAAUCUCUCAAAGUUCUCGAGCUUGAAGGUUGUUAAAGGUUUCGUUACUUACCAGAGGACCUGGGGUAUCUAAAUAGUUUGGAGCAGCUUAAUCUGAGAGGUACUGCUGUAAAAUACCUACCAUCUUCCAUUGUACUUCUGAAAAACUUUAAGACCCUAUCAUGUGGUGAAGGACCCUUAGGACCACGACAAUGGAAAAAUGUUAUCAAUAUCAUUGUUGGCAAAGAUCUUUCCUCAGCUGGUCUUCAUUCUUUGAAAAAAUUGGAAUUAAGUAGCUGCAGUCUUGAAAAUAGAAGGUAUCCUCAAGAUUUUGGCUGCUUAGUUUCUUUAGAAGAUUAAGCCUCAGAACUGUUUUUGUUGCCUACCUGUCAGUAUCAAUAAACUAUCCAAGCUUAGGUAUCUUGAUGUGAGGCUUUGUAAAUAUCUAAAAUCAUUGGGACCAGAGCUUCCAACUAGCUUAGAAAUGGUAAAGGUUGAUCACUGUACUUUAUUGGACACCUUUCUUGAUCCACUGAGCCAAUGCACGUUGCGGUGUUCUGCAAGUUGUGUGAACUGCUUUAAUUUGGUGGAGGCAAGGCAGCAAAAGUACAGCAAUUGCCUCCUUAAAAAGUUAUCUCCAGAAGCCUUCUAAUCCAAUGAAAAUGUUUGAUAUUGUUCUUCCUGGAAAAGAAAUUCCAGCCUGGUUCACUCGUCAAAGUUCUGGGUCAUCGAUAAGUUUACAACUAGAUCCAAAUUGGUGCAACAGUAAAUGGAUGGGUUUUGCUUUCUCCGUAUGCUUUGUUUUUAUGGGCUUCUCAAGUUUUCUCUGCAAUGUAAAAAUCAAUGGAAAUGAUUGGGGAUUGGGACAGUUGGAGUUUCCUCGAUGCCAUGAGUUCUCUAUGCCUCACCUUUGGUUAUUGUAUUUGCCUCGUGAGAUCUAUUUCCAUAUAGAGUGGCAGAACAACAACUGUGGUCGGGUUGAGGUUUCCUUCGAAAUACAUAACCAAAUUAAAGGAAACUACACGAACAUGGCCAUUGGAUUUUGUGGUGCUCGUUUGGUAUAUGAGCCAGACAUAGAAGAUCUGAGCUGAAUUGCCUGCAACUGCAUUGAAUUUCCUGAUGAGGAUGUGGAUUUCUUUUGCAGAAUGAAGAAUGAAAGGAAUUUAAGAAAUAACUUCACUUUUCCUUCUUAACUUCAAUAGAACUAUCCAAUUUGUUUUUGUUGUGUGCAAAUAUGCCACAUUUCAGUUUUGGCAGUAAAUUAGAAGGCCAUCUAAACCAAAUAGCACCGACCUAGACAAACUAGAGAAUUCAUGCCUGCUUAGAUGUCAGUUUGGCGGCAUUAUGGUGGGAACCAUAUCAAAACACUUGAAAUAUAUUUGAUAAUAUUUGUGACUGA